rnacentral:rRNA from 1 species
UACAGAGGGUGCGAGCGUUAAUCGGAAUUACUGGGCGUAAAGCGUGCGUAGACGGCUAUCUAAGUCGGGUGUGAAAGCCCCGGGCUCAACCUGGGAAAUGCAUUCGAGACUGAAUAGCUAGGGUGCGGUAGAGGGAAGCGGAAUUUCCGGUGUAGCGGUGAAAUGCGUAGAUAUCGGAAGGAACAUCAGUGGCGAAAGCGGCUUCCUGGACCAGCACCGACGUUCAGGCACGAAAGCGUGGGGAGCGAACAGG